GAUGAACGCUGGCGGCGUGCUUAACACAUGCAAGUCGAACGGAAAGGCCCAAGCUUGGUUGGGUACUCGAGUGGCGAACGGGGGAGUAACACGUGGGGGAACUGCCCCGCACUUCGGGAGAAGACUGGGAAAAUGGGGCGAAUACCGGAGAGGACCACUUGAAGGGCGUUGUGGAGGAAAGAAUGUUGGGUGUGGGGUUAGCUCGCGGCCUAUCAGCUUGGUGGUGGGGUAAUGGAAUGCCAAGGUGUUAGCGGGAAGACGGUCUCUGGGGGUGUACGGCCACCCUGGCUCCUACAUGAGGCCCCGACUCCUACUGGUGGCAGCUGUGCGGAAUCUUGCCCAAUCGGCGCCAGCCUGAUGCUGCGACGCCGCGUGUCGUAUGACUGUCUUAUUGUUGUAAACCCCUUUCGCUAGUGACUAAGCGUUUUGUGACGGUACCUGGAGAAAAAGCACCGGCUAACUACGUG
rnacentral:rRNA from 1 species